AGUGAACGCUGGCGGCAGGCCUAACACAUGCAAGUCGAGCGGCAGCGGGUCCUUCGGGAUGCCGGCGAGCGGCGGACGGGUGAGGAAUGCGUCGGAAUCUGCCUCUUUGUGGGGGAUAACGUAGGGAAACUUACGCUAAUACCGCAUACGACCUACGGGUGAAAGUGGGGGACCGCAAGGCCUCACGCAGAAAGAAGAGCCGACGUCGGAUUAGCUAGUUGGCGGGGUAAAGGCCCACCAAGGCGACGAUCCGUAGCUGGUCUGAGAGGAUGAUCAGCCACACUGGAACUGAGACACGGUCCAGACUCCUACGGGAGGCAGCAGUGGGGAAUAUUGGACAAUGGGCGCAAGCCUGAUGCAGCCAUGCCGCGUGUGUGAAGAAGGCCUUCGGGUUGUAAAGCACUUUUGUCCGGAAAGAAAUCCUGUCGGCUAAUACCCGGCGGGGAUGACGGUACCGGAAGAAUAAGCACCGGCUAACUUCGUG
rnacentral:rRNA from 1 species